rnacentral:misc_RNA from 1 species
GGAUGCAGCAUCCUAGUGGAGGACGCCCCUGUGAGGCCCAUCUCCAGACACAGCCACUCGGGGCUCUGGGCUUCAGUGAAUGGAUUUAGGGGACACAAACAAUCAGUCCACCGCAGGGCCACUCCCAUUCCCCCUUCCCACCCAGACCUGUGGGCUGAGCCUUCUUUUUCUUGGGAAUGGCCUCUUCGGGAGCUGUGUGUGUUGCAGGAGCCAGUGACCUUCAGGGACGUGGCCAUCUACUUCUCAAGGGAGGAGUGGGCGUGUCUGGAACCCAGCCAGAGGGCCCUCUACCGGGACGUGAUGCUGGACAACUUCAGCAGUGUGGCUGCUCUGGGAUUUUGCAGCCCCAGACCAGACCUCGUCUCUCGCCUGGAACAGUGGGAGGAGCCGUGGGUUGAAGACCGGGAGAGACCUGAGUUCCAGGCAGUGCAGAGGGGACCCCGGCCAGGGGCAAGGAAGUCUGCAGACCCCAAGAGACCUUGUGAUCAU